rnacentral:misc_RNA from 1 species
AAAAUACCCAACAAAAAUAUAAUGAAAAGGUUUCUGUAAUCAAAUUUAUUGCACAUUGGCAACAGGAAUUUCUGACCGACAGACAGACAAUAUAACCAACAAGCAAUGAAAUGAAAGAAAAUGAGUCGGAAAAAAACAAAAAAAAAGGGGAGCGUUUUAAACCAAAUAUCCUUCCUACCUAAACUCAGUUUGUUUCUCUUUCGUGGCUGUCGCAGAAAAUGCUGGGGAUUCUCAAACUACUUGGAUUCACUGUUGGCUAUCUUCAAAAGGAAUAACCACCUCCUCAACAUUUAGUAUUUCCUCUACUUCAACUUCCUUCGCCUCGUAUUCCUCCUCUUCAUCACUGGCUUCCCCAUCACGCAACUUUUCCCUCUCCAUUUUCUCCUCUUCAUGCAACCGCUUCCACUUACUAAUCCAUGCUUCCCAUUCUUCUUUCAGCUUCUUUCGCUUCUCACGGUCUUGCUCGCUCAACAGCAAUGAAACAUCCUGAUCCUCUGCUUCAUACUUCUUGCUGUACUUCUUCAAGUUCUUAGCAAUCUCUUCCUCUUUCUCCUUACUUAAGAAGGAUGGUGGCCUAGGGCGCCACAAAAACUGGAAAAAAUGAUCCUUGAGUAUCCUAUACAGCAGCUUUCCGUUGAAAGACCAGAUGUUGAAUCCAUUUUCCAUCUCAUGAACUGAAGUAACAGCUGUCGCUACAUACCUUCCAGUUGGAUCCCAUUCGACAUCUGUUGCCAUAAAAUGCUCAGCAGAUGCCAUGGUAUCAAGCUCAUCGACGUCAAAGAAUUCCAACUGUCCAUUGAAACCUUUCAUUCCAGCUAAAAUAAUGAAGCGGCCUCCAGGUGACCAGUAGAGAGCAUUAGCCUGCUUUCCCUUGAGAGUUGUCAGCUUUGAAACACGGCCCGUGUUAGUGCCAGACCGCAUAGAGUAGAAACUGACAUCUGGCCUGGGGUUGUCACCGUGGAUGACAGCGAAUCUGUGACCCUUAGGCUCCCAAGCAAAUGCAAUAAUUUUAUCAUUCUUGUUGUCAAGCUCCAAAACCUCAAUUGGAAUAUCCCGUUCUUUGAUUCUGAAAAGCUCAAAACCAGUGUAUGUGCUUUUCUUGGUCUUUGUGUACCGGUCAACUUUGACAGCAAGGUAGUCUCCAUUGCUUUGCCAAUACAUUUUGCAAUCACUCACACUGAAGAGAUUCUUUUGCCUCAACUCCUCUUUACUUGGGAUUUGCACAAGACUUACCCUGGCAGGUUGAUUUCCACAUUCAGGAACAAAGAGUGAAAGAAUUGGAUCUGUUGGUGACCAGCUAAAAUCCAUAACAUUUUCAACCUUGAUAGAUUUCUUGUCAAUAAGUGAGAAAGUCUCUGUUUCAUAAACAGAGAUGACAUUCUUUCCUAUUCUUGCAAAAUACUUAUCCUCUUUACCACCACUCCACCUAAAGACUGGCCAGGACACACCAGUAACACCUCCAGUUCCUCCAACUGCAAAUUCAUCAGCACUUCCCUUGAAAUCUCUCAUCACUUUUCCAGUUCUCACAUCAAAAAUAUUUAGCACAACCCUGUGAGUGUCACGAGGGUUACUUGGUUCAUGGCUGCUAUAUGUCACCAGAUAUCUCUCACCAGGGGAGAAAUCAAUCAGCUUUACCUGAGGAUGUGCAUAGCGCAUGAGGCGGUUGAAAGUGGUGGCACCACCCCAAAUUGCAGCGCCUUGUCUGUGAACUGUUGCCAAGUAGGUACCCAUAGGGGACCAUUGAACAAAACUCUCAGUCCAAUAA